GACGAACGCUGGCGGCGUGCUUAACACAUGCAAGUCGAACGGAGAAUCUAAGCUUGCUCUUUCUAUCAGAUACGAACGGGUUAGUAACAGGUGAGUAACCUGCUCUUGAACCUGGGAUAAGCGGUGGAAAAACCGUCUAAUACGAGAUCUAAUGACGCAUGACAUCUUCUGUUUGUGGAAAGAAUUUUGGUCAAGGAUGGACUCGCGGCAUAUCAGCUUGUUGGUGAGGUAAUGGCUCACCACGGCGACGACGGGUAGCCGGCCUGAGAGGGUGACCGGCCACACUGGGACUGAGGCAGGGCCCAGACUCCUACGGGAGGCAUGAGUGGGGAAUAUUGCACAAUGGGCGCAAGCAGGAUGCAGCAACGCCGCGUGAGGGAUGACGGCCUUCGGGUUGUAAACCUCUUGUAGUAGGGAAGAAGCGACAGUGACGGUACCUGAAGAAAAAGCAACGGCUAACUACGUG
rnacentral:rRNA from 1 species